GUCGCGGGGGGGAGGAGGAGGAGGAGGAGGGACUGAGUGGCGGCGGCCCCCGCGUCCCGGUGCCUCUAUGGGGAAAGCAGACAAUGGAUUAUGAUUUCAAGGCGAAGCUGGCGGCGGAGCGGGAGCGGGUGGAGGAUUUGUUUGAGUACGAAGGGUGCAAAGUGGGACGCGGCACCUACGGGCACGUCUACAAGGCGAGGCGAAAAGAUGGAUUCCAGGAGGGCUUCGUGUAUGGACCUCAGGCGUUGGAGGUAGCAGACUUUUCAGCAGAAGAAAAGAUGAAAAGGAAUAUGCAUUGAAGCAAAUUGAAGGCACAGGAAUAUCCAUGUCAGCUUGUAGAGAGAUUGCAGUAAGUGGAUAUAAAUAUAUUACUUAUUUUGUUGUUGAUAUUGGAUGAUGCUUGAUAUUAAUAUAAAAGCUUUGUUAAUGUAUACAAUGCAUGGUUAUUUCAAAGAUGUUAAUUAGUUUAAGGGUAUGUAAGAUGAGAAAAGCUGCAUAAACUUUUUAAUUAUUUGGAAGUCUUCUUUGAACAAUUCUC
rnacentral:lncRNA from 1 species